rnacentral:rRNA from 1 species
AGCGACUAAGCGUACACGGUGGAUGCCCUGGCAGUCAGAGGCGAUGAAGGGCGUGCUAAUCUGCGAUAAGCGCCGGUAAGGUGAUAUGAACCGUUAUAACCGGCGAUACCCGAAUGGGGAAACCCAGUGUGACUCGUCACACUAUCAUUAACUGAAUCCAUAGGUUAAUGAGGCGAACCGGGGGAACUGAAACAUCUAAGUACCCCGAGGAAAAGAAAUCAACCGAGAUUCCCCCAGUAGCGGCGAGCGAACGGGGAGGAGCCCAGAGCCUGAAUCAGCAUGUGUGUUAGUGGAAGCGUCUGGAAAGGCGCGCGAUACAGGGUGACAGCCCCGUACACAAAAGCGCAUGUGCUGUGAGCUCGAUGAGUAGGGCGGGACACGUGGUAUCCUGUCUGAAUAUGGGGGGACCAUCCUCCAAGGCUAAAUACUCCUGACUGACCGAUAGUGAACCAGUACCGUGAGGGAAAGGCGAAAAGAACCCCGGCGAGGGGAGUGAAAAAGAACCUGAAACCGUGUACGUACAAGCAGUGGGAGCACAGGUUUACCUGUGUGACUGCGUACCUUUUGUAUAAUGGGUCAGCGACUUAUAUUCUGUAGCAAGGUUAACCGUAUAGGGGAGCCGUAGGGAAACCGAGUCUUAACCGGGCGUUAAGUUGCAGGGUAUAGACCCGAAACCCGGUGAUCUAGCCAUGGGCAGGUUGAAGGUUGGGUAACACUAACUGGAGGACCGAACCGACUAAUGUUGAAAAAUUAGCGGAUGACCUGUGGCUGGGGGUGAAAGGCCAAUCAAACCGGGAGAUAGCUGGUUCUCCCCGAAAGCUAUUUAGGUAGCGCCUCGUGAAUUCAUCUCCGGGGGUAGAGCACUGUUUCGGCUAGGGGGCCAUCCCGGCUUACCAACCCGAUGCAAACUGCGAAUACCGGAGAAUGUUAUCACGGGAGACACACGGCGGGUGCUAACGUCCGUCGUGAAGAGGGAAACAACCCAGACCGCCAGCUAAGGUCCCAAAGUCAUGGUUAAGUGGGAAACGAUGUGGGAAGGCCCAGACAGCCAGGAUGUUGGCUUAGAAGCAGCCAUCAUUUAAAGAAAGCGUAAUAGCUCACUGGUCGAGUCGGCCUGCGCGGAAGAUGUAACGGGGCUAAACCAUGCACCGAAGCUGCGGCAGCGACGCUGAUGCGUUGUUGGGUAGGGGAGCGUUCUGUAAGCCUGUGAAGGUGGCCUGUGAGGGUUGCUGGAGGUAUCAGAAGUGCGAAUGCUGACAUAAGUAACGAUAAAGCGGGUGAAAAGCCCGCUCGCCGGAAGACCAAGGGUUCCUGUCCAACGUUAAUCGGGGCAGGGUGAGUCGACCCCUAAGGCGAGGCCGAAAGGCGUAGUCGAUGGGAAACGGGUUAAUAUUCCCGUACUUGGUGUUACUGCGAAGGGGGGACGGAGAAGGCUAUGUUGGCCGGGCGACGGUUGUCCCGGUUUAAGCGUGUAGGUGUGUGUUCCAGGUAAAUCCGGUUCACUUUAACACUGAGGCGUGAUGACGAGGCACUACGGUGCUGAAGCAACAAAUGCCCUGCUUCCAGGAAAAGCCUCUAAGCAUCAGGUAACAUCAAAUCGUACCCCAAACCGACACAGGUGGUCAGGUAGAGAAUACCAAGGCGCUUGAGAGAACUCGGGUGAAGGAACUAGGCAAAAUGGUGCCGUAACUUCGGGAGAAGGCACGCUGACACGUAGGUGAAGUGAUUUACUCAUGGAGCUGAAGUCAGUCGAAGAUACCAGCUGGCUGCAACUGUUUAUUAAAAACACAGCACUGUGCAAACACGAAAGUGGACGUAUACGGUGUGACGCCUGCCCGGUGCCGGAAGGUUAAUUGAUGGGGUCAGCGCAAGCGAAGCUCCUGAUCGAAGCCCCGGUAAACGGCGGCCGUAACUAUAACGGUCCUAAGGUAGCGAAAUUCCUUGUCGGGUAAGUUCCGACCUGCACGAAUGGCGUAAUGAUGGCCAGGCUGUCUCCACCCGAGACUCAGUGAAAUUGAACUCGCUGUGAAGAUGCAGUGUACCCGCGGCAAGACGGAAAGACCCCGUGAACCUUUACUAUAGCUUGACACUGAACAUUGAGCCUUGAUGUGUAGGAUAGGUGGGAGGCUUUGAAGCGUGGACGCCAGUCUGCAUGGAGCCGGCCUUGAAAUACCACCCUUUAAUGUUUGAUGUUCUAACGUGGACCCGUGAUCCGGGUUGCGGACAGUGUCUGGUGGGUAGUUUGACUGGGGCGGUCUCCUCCUAAAGAGUAACGGAGGAGCACGAAGGUUGGCUAAUCCUGGUCGGACAUCAGGAGGUUAGUGCAAUGGCAUAAGCCAGCUUGACUGCGAGCGUGACGGCGCGAGCAGGUGCGAAAGCAGGUCAUAGUGAUCCGGUGGUUCUGAAUGGAAGGGCCAUCGCUCAACGGAUAAAAGGUACUCCGGGGAUAACAGGCUGAUACCGCCCAAGAGUUCAUAUCGACGGCGGUGUUUGGCACCUCGAUGUCGGCUCAUCACAUCCUGGGGCUGAAGUAGGUCCCAAGGGUAUGGCUGUUCGCCAUUUAAAGUGGUACGCGAGCUGGGUUUAGAACGUCGUGAGACAGUUCGGUCCCUAUCUGCCGUGGGCGCUGGAGAACUGAGGGGGGCUGCUCCUAGUACGAGAGGACCGGAGUGGACGCAUCACUGGUGUUCGGGUUGUCAUGCCAAUGGCACUGCCCGGUAGCUAAAUGCGGAAGAGAUAAGUGCUGAAAGCAUCUAAGCACGAAACUUGCCCCGAGAUGAGUUCUCCCUGAGACUUAGAGUCUCCUGAAGGAACGUUGAAGACGACGACGUUGAUAGGCCGGGUGUGUAAGCGCAGCGAUGCGUUGAGCUAACCGGUACUAAUGAACCGUGAGGCUUAACCUUACAACGCCGAAG